ACAGCAGCAGCCACGGGAAUACGGAGGGUGCAAGCGUUAAUCGGAAUUACUGGGCGUAAAGCGCACGCAGGCGGUCUGUCAAGUCGGAUGUGAAAUCCCCGGGCUCAACCUGGGAACUGCAUUCGAAACUGGCAGGCUAGAGUCUUGUAGAGGGGGGUAGAAUUCCAGGUGUAGCGGUGAAAUGCGUAGAGAUCUGGAGGAAUACCGGUGGCGAAGGCGGCCCCCUGGACAAAGACUGACGCUCAGGUGCGAAAGCGUGGGGAGCAAACAGGAUUAGAUACCCCGGUAGUCCCUGUCUCUUAUAC
rnacentral:rRNA from 1 species